UGCUGAGUCAUGACAACAUCCCCUUUGGUCC
rnacentral:piRNA from 1 species